rnacentral:rRNA from 1 species
AGAUAAUAGAUACCCUGGUAGUCCACGCCGUAAACGUUGGGCGCUAGGUGUGGGGGCCAUUCCACGGUUUCUGUGCCGCAGCUAAACGCAUUAAGCGCCCCGCCUGGGGAGUACGGCCGCAAGGCUAAAAACUCAAAGGAAUUGACGGGGGCCCGCACAAGCGGCGGAGCAUGUGGAUUAAUUCGAUGCAACGCGAAGAACCUUACCUGGGUUUGACAUGCACCAGACGCAUCCAGAGAUGGGUGUUCCCUUGUGGUUGGUGUGCAGGUGGUGCAUGGCUGUCGUCAGCUCGUGUCGUGAGAUGUUGGGUUAAGUCCCGCAACGAGCGCAACCCUCGUUCCAUGUUGCCAGCACGCAGCUUGCUGUGUGGGGACUCAUGGGAGACUGCCGGGGUCAACUCGGAGGAAGUGGGGAUGACGUCAAGUCAUCAUGCCCCUUAUGUCCAGGGCUUCACACAUGCUACAAUGGCUCAUACAGA